AGAGUUUGAUCAUGGCUCAGAGCGAACGCUGGCGGCGUGCUUAACACAUGCAAGUCGAGUGCGCGUUUCCGUAGCAAUACGGAGAUGGCGCACGGCGCACGGGUGCGUAACACGUGGGUAAUCUGCCCUCUGAUGGGGAAUAACCCCGCGAAAGCGGGGCUAAUACCGCAUAACAUUCCUUGGACUCCGGUUCGAGGACUCAAAGGCGUAAGUCGUCGGAGGUGGAGCCCGCGCACGAUUAGCUAGUUGGUAGGGUAAUGGCCUACCAAGGCUUUGAUCGUUAGCUGGUCUGAGAGGAUGGCCAGCCACACUGGAACUGAGACACGGUCCAGACUCCUACGGGAGGCAGCAGUGGGGAAUCUUGCACAAUGGGCGAAAGCCUGAUGCAGCGACGCCGCGUGGGGGAUGAAGCUUCUCGGAGUGUAAACCCCUUUCGACCGGGACGAAUACCUCGCAAGAGGGGUGACGGUACCGGUAUAAGAAGCCCCGGCUAACUACGUGCCAGCAGCCGCGGUAAGACGUAGGGGGCCAGCGUUGCUCGGAAUUACUGGGUGUAAAGGGUUCGUAGGCGGUGUGGCAAGUCGGGAGUGAAAUCUCUGGGCUCAACUCAGGGGCUGCUUCCGAAACUGCCGUGCUAGAGUGUGGGAGAGGCGCGUGGAAUUGCAGGUGUAGCGGUGAAAUGCGUAGAUAUCUGCAGGAACACCCGUGGCGAAAGCGGCGCGCUGGACCACUACUGACGCUGAGGAACGAAAGCUAGGGGAGCAAACAGGAUUAGAUACCCUGGUAGUCCUAGCCCUAAACGAUCAGGACUUGGGGUGCCACCCGUUCGGGUGUCGUCCCGGAGCUAACGCGUUAAGUCCUGCACCUGGGGAGUACGGUCGCAAGACUGAAACUCAAAGGAAUUGACGGGGGCCCGCACAAGCGGUGGAACAUGUGGUUCAAUUCGACGCUACGCGAGGAACCUUACCUGGGCUCG
rnacentral:rRNA from 1 species